GUAGGUAAGGUGAUGAUGGAACUGGUUCAUCCCACCAUUUGAAUUUUUUUGUAAAUAUUUUUUCCUUAGUCAAAUUAUCUGUGCUAGUCAUUUUGGUUGUGCAGGAUUAUUCUAUAAUCAGUUUAUUCCCGAGAGUCAUAAUUGAUUAUUUAGAAAAAAUGUAGGGACAUUAAAAUUUCUAGCUAGGUAUUGUCCCGCUAGAUUACUCUC
rnacentral:lncRNA from 1 species